rnacentral:lncRNA from 1 species
UGGAUGCUGGGUCAGAGGGAACCUCACCUGUGUUGGAGUUUGGCCCAUUGGGCAAGACAGCUCCCUACCUACCUGUCAGAUUCAGGAAUCCAGGACCAGAGCAGAGGAGGACCAGGGAACAUGAAACCUUCAAAGUCUCUCUGGGUGCGAUAAUCCUCAGGUGGGCAGAGCAUCCGCAAUACCAGAUGAUCCAAAGGCAACAGAUGCUCCGAUUGCGCCAUUGAAUAAUCCCAAGUGGUAACUUGCCCCUGGUGGACUUGAACAGAAUUGUAUUGUAUGCAGCAAGGCAAUGAAGAGCACAGACUCUGAAGCCAGAUUGCCCAGGUUUGAAUCCUGGCUCAGCUAUUCCACUAGCUGUGUCUCUUUAUGCCUCAGUUUUGUCAUCACUGAAAUGGGAGAGAGAGAUUUGAAGAUACAGAGGAGACCCACAGGGAGGAAGGCCAUGUGACAACGGAGGCAGAGACUGGAGUGAUGCGUCUCCAAGCCGAGGACUGCUGGACCAUCAGAAGCUGGAAGAGGGGAGGAAGGAGCCUUCAGAAGGAGCUGAUACCUUCAUUUCUGACUUCUGGCCUCCACAACUGGGAGAGAAUCGAUUUCUGUUGUUUCAAGCCACCCAGUUUAUGAUAAUUUGUUAUGGAAGUCCUAGGAAAGCAAUACAGGAUCUAUGUUAACCUA